rnacentral:rRNA from 1 species
AUUGAACGCUGGCGGCAUGCCUUACACAUGCAAGUCGAACGGUAACAGGGAGCUUGCUCCGCUGACGAGUGGCGAACGGGUGAGUAAUGUAUCGGAACGUACCUUUUAGUGGGGGAUAACGUAGCGAAAGUUACGCUAAUACCGCAUAUUCUCUGAGGAGGAAAGCAGGGGACCUUCGGGCCUUGCGCAAAUAGAGCGGCUGAUAUCAGAUUAGCUGGUUGGUGAGGUAAAGGCUCACCAAGGCGACGAUCUGUAGCGGGUCUGAGAGGAUGAUCCGCCACACUGGAACUGAGACACGGUCCAGACUCCUACGGGAGGCAGCAGUGGGGAAUUUUGGACAAUGGGGGCAACCCUGAUCCAGCCAUGCCGCGUGAGUGAAGAAGGCCUUCGGGUUGUAAAGCUCUCUCGGCCGGGAAAAAAUCGCAUGGGCUAAUACCCUGUGUGGAUGAUGGUACCGGAAUAAGAAGCACCGGCUAACUACGUGCCAGCAGCCGCAGUAA